rnacentral:rRNA from 1 species
UACGUAGGUGACCAGCGUUGUCCGGAUUUACUGGGCGUAAAGAGCGCGCAGGCGGUCGUUCAAGUCGAGUGUGAAAGCCCCCGGCUCAACUGGGGAGGGUCAUUCGAUACUGAUCGACUUGAAGGCAGGAGAGGGAAGCGGAAUUCCCGGUGUAGUGGCGAAAUGCGUAGAUAUCGGGAGGAACACCAGUGGCGAAGGCGGCUUCCUGGCCUGUUCUUGACGCUGAGGCGCGAAAGCUAGGGGAGCAAACGGG